UGAGUACGAGAUGCUACGGCAUCGAAGCAGUCUAUGUCAUACUUCCAAGAAAAGCUUGCAAUGUCAUAAACAAAUAAUGCCUGUACCAUAACCGACACAGGUGGGUAGGUAGAGUAUACUAAGGGGCGCGAGAUAACUCUCUCUAAGGAACUCGGCAAAAUGACUCCGUAACUUCGGGAGAAGGAGUGCCUUAUUUUUAUAAGGUUGCAAUAACAAGAUCCAAGCAACUGUUUACCAAAAACACAGGUCUCCGCUAAGUCGUAAGACGAUGUAUGGGGGCUGACGCCUGCCCAGUGCCAGAAGGUUAAAGAAGUUGGUUAGCAUUAGCGAAGCUGAUAACUGAAGCCCUGGUGAACGGCGGCCGUAACGAUAACGGUCCUAAGGUAGCGAAAUUCCUUGUCGGGUAAGUUCCGACCCGCACGAAAGGCGUAAUGAUUUGGAUACUGUCUCGGAGAGGGGCUCGGUGAAAUAGACUUGUCUGUGAAGAUGCGGACUACCUGCACCAGGACAGAAAGACCCUAUGAAGCUUUACUGCAACUUGAGAUUGAAAUUGGACUUUAUCUGCGCAGUAUAGGUGGGAGACGUUGAAAAUAUUCUUGCGGGAAUAUUGGAGUCAUCAGUGAGAUACCACUCUUAUAAUGUUAGAUUUCUAACUUUGUAUCAUUAUCUGGUCAAAGAACGGUUUCAGGCGGGCAGUUUGACUGGGGCGGUCGCCUCCCAAACGGUAACGGAGGCGCACAAAGGUUUCCUCUGAACGUGUAGAAAUCGUAUCUAGAGUGUAAAGGCAUAAGGAAGCUUGACUGUGAGACCUACAAGUCGAGCAGGGACGAAAGUCGGUCUUAGUGAUCUGACGGUGCUGAGUGGAAAGGCCGUCACUCAACGGAUAAAAGUUACUCUAGGAUAACAGGCUGAUCUCCCCCAAGAGUUCACAUCGACGGGGAGGUUUGGCACCUCGAUGUCGGCUCAUCGCAUCCUGGGGCGGUAGUACGUCCCAAGGGUUGGGCUGUUCGCCCAUGAAAGCGGUACGCGAGCUGGGUUCAGAACGUCGUGAGACAGUUCGGUCCAUAUCCGGUGUAGGCGUUAGAAUAUUGAGAGGAGCCUUCUUUAGUACGAGAGGACCGAGAAGGACAUACCUCUGGUGUACCAGUUAUCGUGCCAACGGUAAACGCUGGGUAGCCAUGUAUGGAGAGGAUAACCGCUGAAAGCAUCUAAGUGGGAAGCCCACCUCAAGAUAAGUAUUCGC
rnacentral:rRNA from 1 species